AUUGAACGCUGGCGGCAGGCCUAACACAUGCAAGUCGAACGAGUGGCGGACGGGUGAGUAAUGUCUGGGAAACUGCCCGAUGGAGGGGGAUAACUACUGGAAACGGUAGCUAAUACCGCAUAACAUAGGAUGGGCCCAGAUGGGAUUAGCUAGUAGGUGGGGUAACGGCGCACCUAGGCGUCGAUCCCUAGCUGGUCUGAGCUGAUGAACAGCCACACUGGAACUGAGACACGGUCCAGACUCCGACGGGAGGCAGCAGUGGGGAAUAUUGCACAAUUGGCGCAAGCCUGAUGCAGCCAUGACGCGUGUAUGAAGAAGGCCUUCGGGUUGUAAAGUACUUUCAGCGAGGAGGCGUUACCCGCAGAAGAAGCCCCGGCUAACUCCGUGCCAGCAGCCGCGGUAAUUC
rnacentral:rRNA from 1 species